rnacentral:tRNA from 1 species
GGUGGUCUAAUGGCUAUCGCUUCUGCUUUAUGAGCAGAAGUUCAUGGGUUCGAUCCCAUGACCGUCC